rnacentral:rRNA from 1 species
CCCUUAGAUGUUCUGGGCCGCACGCGCGCUACAAUGAUGAAUUCAACGAGUUUAUAACCUUGGUUGAAAAGCCUGGGUAAUCUUUUGAACUUUCGUCGUGAUGGGGCUAGACCCUUGCAAUUAUUGGUCUCCAACGAGGAAUUCCUAGUAAACGCAAGUCAUCGGCUUGCAUUGAUUACGUCCCUGCCCUUUGUACACACCGCCCGUCGCACCUACCGAUUGAAUGGUCCGGUGAAAUCUUCGGAUUGAGACUUUGUUUUCUUCACGGAAAACGCUGUUUUAAAAAGUUGAUUAAACCUUACCAUUUAGAGGAAGGUGAAGUCGUAACA